rnacentral:lncRNA from 1 species
CCAAAUAGUCUUAUAAUUUUAAAAGAGACAAAAUGAGUUAAUGACUCACUAGUAAAAGCACAAAUUUUGUGCAAGUGAAUAAUAACUUAUUUAAUUUGAGAACUCUCAAGAGAACCGUAUAACUCUCAAGAAAAUUUACCACAAUACCAGCCAUGAAAAUUUUGAGCAGUGAACAAAACAUAAGUUGAAGUCCAGAUAAAGAUCACCUUAUCCAUUGUAACAAAAAAGCUAUUACUUUCCAUUCUCCUACCAAACAAGCAAAUAAAUUUAAGUUUUUAAUAACAAAGUCUAAGCAAUAUCUUCAAAAUAAAUACAAUAUAGCAAAAUGAAAUGUGUUA